rnacentral:rRNA from 1 species
GAUGAACGCUGGCGGCGUGCUUAACACAUGCAAGUCGAACGAAGCGCUUGGAUGGAAUUCUUCGGAAGGAAGCUCAAGUGACUGAGUGGCGGACGGGUGAGUAACGCGUGGGUAACCUGCCUCAUACAGGGGGAUAACAGUUAGAAAUGACUGCUAAUACCGCAUAAGCACACGUGAUCGCAUGAUCGAGUGUGAAAAACUCCGGUGGUAUGAGAUGGACCCGCGUCUGAUUAGCUAGUUGGUGGGGUAACGGCCCACCAAGGCGACGAUCAGUAGCCGGCCUGAGAGGGUGAACGGCCACAUUGGGACUGAGACACGGCCCAAACUCCUACGGGAGGCAGCAGUGGGGAAUAUUGCACAAUGGGGGAAACCCUGAUGCAGCGACGCCGCGCGAAGGAUGAAGUAUUUCGGUAUGUAAACUUCUAUCAGCAGGGAAGAAAAUGACGGUACCUGACUA